rnacentral:rRNA from 1 species
AUACGUAGGGGGCGAGCGUUGUCCGGAAUGAUUGGGCGUAAAGGGCGCGUAGGCGGCGCGGUAAGUCUGGAGUGAAAGUCCUGCUUUCAAGGUGGGAAUUGCUUUGGAUACUGCCGCGCUUGAGUGCAGGAGAGGUUAUCGGAAUUCCCGGUGUAGCGGUGAAAUGCGUAGAGAUCGGGAGGAACACCAGUGGCGAAGGCAGGUAACUGGACUGCAACUGACGCUGAGGCGCGAAAGUGUGGGGAGCAAACAGGAUUAGAUACCCUGGUAGUCCACACUGUAAACGAUGAAUGCUAGGUGUAAGAGGUAUCGACCCCUUUUGUGCCGGAGUCAACACAAUAAGCAUUCCGCCUGGGGAGUACGGCCGCAAGGUUGAAACUCAAAUGAAUUGACGGGG